UAUCUAUGCCUGUGUGGCCUAAUGGAUAAGGCGCUCGCCUCCGGAGCGUGAGAUUGUGGGUUCUGGACCCAUCGUGGUCGAU